GUCUGUCACUCUUCCAUAUUACACUCCCCAGAGAGGCAGAGGAGUAACUGGGUUAAGAGCAUGGAUCUGCAGUCUGCCCAGGAGGAGCCUGGCUCUCCACUUACUAGCUGUGCAAUCCUAGUGCCUUGUACUUAUCAGUCAGUCCUGGCUGAAAAAGUUUGAUUACUAUAAGAUCAUCUUAAUUUCUUUCUAUGUAGAAGGAACAGCCUCCAUUGUAAUGUUACUCCUGGGAAAGCAAUACUAUUACUGUUUGGCUCUUUAUCUCACUAUUAUCAUGGUUAUCGUGUGAGCUUCGGUUUCCUUGUUUACCCUGCCACUAGCUGACAUGGUUGAUGCAGAUUUACUAAAGUUUAAUCAGCA